rnacentral:rRNA from 1 species
UACGUAGGCAGCGAGCGUUGUUCGGAGUUACUGGGCGUAAAGAGUGCGUAGGCGGUUUUCUAAGGUUGGUGUGAAAUCUCCCGGCUUAACUGGGAGGGUGCGCCGAAGACUGGAAGGCUUGAGUAGGGGAGAGGUAAGCGGAAUUCCUGGUGUAGCGGUGAAAUGCGUAGAUAUCGGGAGGAACACCAGUGGCGAAGGCGGCUUCCUGGCCUGUUCUUGACGCUGAGGCGCGAAAGCUAGGGGAGCAAACGGG